rnacentral:tRNA from 3 species
UGGCCCUUAGUUCAGUUGGAAGAACGCCUGUUUUUGGUACAGGAGGUCGCAGGUUCGAACCCUGCAGGGCCAG